GGACCCGCACAAGUAGUGGAGCAUGUGGUUUAAUUCGAAGAUACGCGCAGAACCUUACCAACACUUGACAUGUUCGUCGCGACUUUAAGAGAUUAAAGUUUUCGGUUCGGCCGGACGAAACACAGGUGCUGCAUGGCUGUCGUCAGCUCGUGUCGUGAGAUGUUGGUUAAGUCCCGCAACGAGCGCAACCCUCACUUUUAGUUGCCAUCAUUAAGUUGGGCACUCUGAAAGAACUGCCAGUGAUAAGCUGGAGGAAGGUGGGGAUGACGUCAAAAUCAUCACGGCCCUUACGGUCCUGGGCUACACACGUGCUACAAUGGCCGGUACAGAGGGCAGCCACACCGCAAGGUGGAG
rnacentral:rRNA from 1 species